rnacentral:rRNA from 1 species
GACGGAGGAUGCAAGCGUUAUCCGGAAUUAUUGGGCGUAAAGCGUCCGCAGGUGGACAUACAAGUCUGCUGUCAAAGUGCAGAGCUUAACUCUGUAAAGGCGGUGGAAACUGUAGGUCUUGAGUAUGGUAGGGGUAGAGGGAAUUCCCGGUGUAGCGGUGAAAUGCGUAGAUAUCAGGAGGAACACCGGUGGCGAAGGCGGGUCUCUGGGCCGAUACUGACGCUGAGGAGCGAAAGCGUGGGGAGCGAACAGG